rnacentral:rRNA from 1 species
AGCGAACGCUGGCGGCAGGCCUAACACAUGCAAGUCGAACGGAUCCUUCGGGAUUAGUGGCGGACGGGUGAGUAACACGUGGGAACGUGCCCUUUGGUUCGGAACAAGUCAGGGAAACUUGAGCUAAUACCGGAUGUGCCCUUCGGGGGAAAGAUUUAUCGCCAUUGGAGCGGCCCGCGUCGGAUUAGCUAGUUGGUGAGGUAAAGGCUCACCAAGGCGACGAUCAGUAGCUGGUCUGAGAGGAUGAUCAGCCACAUUGGGACUGAGACACGGCCCAAAAUCCUACGGGAGGCAGCAGUGGGGAAUCUUGCGCAAUGGGCGAAAGCCUGACGCAGCCAUGCCGCGUGAAUGAUGAAGGUCUUAGGAUUGUAAAAUUCUUUCACCGGGGACGAUAAUGACGGUACCCGGAGAAGAAGCCCCGGCUAACUUCGUGCCAGCAGCCGCCGUAACAC